ensembl:lncRNA LINC00877 long intergenic non-protein coding RNA 877
GAGGGAGGGAGGGAAAGAGAAUCAAUCCCUUCAACCAGAAUUCUGUAAAGAUACAAUGAAGUGAUCAAUGUCAACUUGCUAUGAUUGAUUGAAAUGUUAUCAUUCAACCAACUGUGUUACCAAUUAACACAAAUUUUGCCAUCUUGUGUUACCACUGGGGGAAAUUGGGGAAACAUGGAUCUCUCUGUAUUGCUUCUUACAAUUUGAGGUGAAACUAAGUAUCUCAAAAUUUAAAAGCUUUUUAGAAAAGAAAAAAUUCCACAAUUUCCAAUGUACUUGAAAGUUGGAAGCUGAACCAAAGGGCACUUCAGCCCCACAGAUUCCACUCCUUGUCUCAACCCUUCCCCCACCACAAUGUGACCAAAUUGUUUACAGUCCAUUCUCCCAGAGGCUCCUGGCAUCUCUUGUAAACCACAAUCUGUUAGACUGUAGCUUCAGCAAAGAUUUCUGGAAGACAUCACUGAAAUUCUGAGUGUCCAAUGUGGGCAUGAAGCCAGUUUUCUAGCUUCCAGCCUGUCCAAAUCUGAGGCUAUUACAGUAUUCAAAUGGCAGCCUGUGAACUCACAUUUCAAGGAGACUGUUCCUCUUGCAUCCUGGACUUCCACCAUGGAAGGUUCACGUCCUUGAGUCUAAUGACUUGGUCCUCACCAGGCUUCCUUGCUGGAACAUAAGCACCACGAGGACAGAAAUACUGUUAUUGUUCUGAUAGAAUAUCAGCGGGGAGCUACUGAGGACCUCCUCACUACCCUCCCUUGGAAGAGUUUGUCUGCAAUGGAGCCAACACAGUGGAAAGCAGAGCUGAGAAAUGGACAAACAACUCCUGAUGCCUCAUUUGAGCACCUGGAUUUAGCCAUGUCUGAAGCUAUUAUAUCCUUGAACUUUUGAAUCAUGCACUGUUUUAAGUCCCAAAGAAAGAGGCAGAGGAGCGACAGAGAUGACUUCCUCCCUUGAAAACGAAGCAUGUGGCCUGACAACCUAAAAUUGGGGUCAAUCCAUCCAAUUAUGGUGACUGCUUAGAAAUAUCCCUUUUCCUCCCAACGUUUUCCUUUCCUUCUCCCAUAAACAUAAUAAUGUCUCCUGCCAGUACUAAGGCAUGGCCCAUGGACCCACUAACACCUAUGCUCACGUUAGCUCUUGAGGCCGAGUGGCUUGGUUCUAUCUGGUUAUCAGAUGCAAACUUCAUCACAGCAGGGAUUUGGGCUAGACAUUAGAGGAAUAGUGUGGUACCAGAUGGUGUUUCUGAAGAAGGUUGUCCUAUUUUUGCAGUUUAAGGAUUUGAUAAUAAAUCUGCCUGGCAGCCCUCAGAUG